AGAGUUUGAUCCUGGCUCAGGACGAACGCUGGCGGCGUGCCUAAUACAUGCAAGUCGUACGCUUUUUCUUUCACCGGAGCUUGCUCCACCGAAAGAAAAGGAGUGGCGAACGGGUGAGUAACACGUGGGUAACCUGCCCAUCAGAAGGGGAUAACACUUGGAAACAGGUGCUAAUACCGUAUAACAAUCGAAACCGCAUGGUUUUGAUUUGAAAGGCGCUUUCGGGUGUCGCUGAUGGAUGGACCCGCGGUGCAUUAGCUAGUUGGUGAGGUAACGGCUCACCAAGGCCACGAUGCAUAGCCGACCUGAGAGGGUGAUCGGCCACAUUGGGACUGAGACACGGCCCAAACUCCUACGGGAGGCAGCAGUAGGGAAUCUUCGGCAAUGGACGAAAGUCUGACCGAGCAACGCCGCGUGAGUGAAGAAGGUUUUCGGAUCGUAAAACUCUGUUGUUAGAGAAGAACAAGGAUGAGAGUAACUGUUCAUCCCUUGACGGUAUCUAACCAGAAAGCCACGGCUAACUACGUGCCAGCAGCCGCGGUAAUACGUAGGUGGCAAGCGUUGUCCGGAUUUAUUGGGCGUAAAGCGAGCGCAGGCGGUUUCUUAAGUCUGAUGUGAAAGCCCCCGGCUCAACCGGGGAGGGUCAUUGGAAACUGGGAGACUUGAGUGCAGAAGAGGAGAGUGGAAUUCCAUGUGUAGCGGUGAAAUGCGUAGAUAUAUGGAGGAACACCAGUGGCGAAGGCGGCUCUCUGGUCUGUAACUGACGCUGAGGCUCGAAAGCGUGGGGAGCAAACAGGAUUAGAUACCCUGGUAGUCCACGCCGUAAACGAUGAGUGCUAGGUGUUAGGCCCUUUCCGGGGCUUAGUGCCGCAGCUAACGCAUUAAGCACUCCGCCUGGGGAGUACGACCGCAAGGUUGAAACUCAAAGGAAUUGACGGGGGCCCGCACAAGCGGUGGAGCAUGUGGUUUAAUUCGAAGCAACGCGAAGAACCUUACCAGGUCUUGACAUCCUUUGACCACUCUAGAGAUAGAGCUUCCCCUUCGGGGGCAAAGUGACAGGUGGUGCAUGGUUGUCGUCAGCUCGUGUCGUGAGAUGUUGGGUUAAGUCCCGCAACGAGCGCAACCCU
rnacentral:rRNA from 1 species